AGUGGCGGACGGGUGAGUAACACGUAAGAAUUUGCCUUUAGGAGGGGGAUAACAACUGGAAACGGUUGCUAAUACCCCAUAUGCUUUCAAGUGAAACGGUUUUUCCGCCUAAAGAGAAGCUUGCGGCUGAUUAGCUUGUUGGUGAGGUAAUGGCUCACCAAGGCGACGAUCAGUAUCUGGUUUGAGAGGACGAUCAGACACACUGGAACUGAGACACGGUCCAGACUCCUACGGGAGGCAGCAGUGGGGAAUUUUCCGCAAUGGGCGAAAGCCUGACGGAGCAAUACCGCGUGAGGGAUGAAUGCCUAUGGGUUGUAAACCUCUUUUUUCAGGGAGGAAUAAAAUGACGUGUACCUGAAGAAUAAGCAUCGGCUAACUCCGUGCCAGCAGCCGCGGUAAGACGGGGGAUGCAAGUGUUAUCCGGAAUCACUGGGCGUAAAGCGUCUGUAGGUGGUUUAAUAAGUCAACUGUUAAAUCUUGAGGCUCAACCUCAAAAUCGCAGUCGAAACUGUUUGACUAGAGUAUAGUAGGGGUAAAGGGAAUUUCCAGUGGAGCGGUGAAAUGCGUAGAGAUUGGAAAGAACACCAAUGGCGAAGGCACUUUACUGGGCUAUUACUAACACUGAGAGACGAAAGCUAGGGUAGCAAAUGGGAUUAGAUACCCCAGUAGUCCUAGCUGUAAACAAUGGAUACUAGAUGUU
rnacentral:rRNA from 1 species